GGGAUUAGAGUUUGAUCAUGGCUCAGGACGAACGCUGGCGGCGUGCCUAAUACAUGCAAGUCGAGCGGAUUGAACGGGAGCUUGCUUCCGUUCGGUUAGCGGCGGACGGGUGAGUAACACGUGGGCAACCUGCCCGUAAGACCGGGAUAACUUCGGGAAACCGGAGCUAAUACCGGAUAACACCGAAGACCGCAUGGUCUUCGGUUGAAAGGCGGCUUUGGCUGUCACUUACGGAUGGGCCCGCGGCGCAUUAGCUAGUUGGUGAGGUAACGGCUCACCAAGGCGACGAUGCGUAGCCGACCUGAGAGGGUGAUCGGCCACACUGGGACUGAGACACGGCCCAGACUCCUACGGGAGGCAGCAGUAGGGAAUCUUCCGCAAUGGACGAAAGUCUGACGGAGCAACGCCGCGUGAGCGAAGAAGGUCUUCGGAUUGUAAAGCUCUGUUGUUAGGGAAGAACAAGUACCGUUCGAAUAGGGCGGUACCGUGACGGUACCCAACGAGAAAGCCACGGCUAACUACGUGCCAGCAGCCGCGGUAAUACGUAGGUGGCAAGCGUUGUCCGGAAUUAUUGGGCGUAAAGCGCGCGCAGGCGGUCCUUUAAGUCUGAUGUGAAAGCCCACGGCUCAACCGUGGAGGGUCAUUGGAAACUGG
rnacentral:rRNA from 1 species